UACAGAGGUCUCAAGCGUUGUUCGGAUUCAUUGGGCGUAAAGGGCGCGUGGGCGGCGAGGUAAGUCGGGUGUGAAAUCUCAGAGCUCAACUCUGAAAUUGCACUUGAUACUGCUCUGCUAGAGGACUGGAGAGGAGAUUGGAAUUCACGGUGUAGCAGUGAAAUGCGUAGAUAUCGUGAGGAAGACCGGUGGCGAAGGCGGAUCUCUGGACAGUUCCUGACGCUGAGGCGCGAAGGCCAGGGGAGCAAACGGG
rnacentral:rRNA from 1 species